rnacentral:rRNA from 1 species
CCUACGGGAGGCAGCAGUGGGGAAUAUUGCACAAUGGGGGAAACCCUGAUGCAGCAACGCCGCGUGAGUGAAGAAGUAUCUCGGUAUGUAAAGCUCUAUCAGCAGGGAAGAAAAUGACUGUACCUGACUAAAAAGCCCCUGCUAACUACGUGCCAGCAGCCGCGGUAAUACGUCGGGGGCAAGCGUUAUCCGGCUCUACUUGUUUGAAAGGGAGCGUAGACGGUGUGGCAAGUCUGGAGUGAAAGCCCGGGGCUCAACCCCGGGACUGCUUUGGAAAGUGUCAUGCUGGAGUGCUGGAGAGGUAAGCGGAAUUCCUAGUGGAGCGGUGAAAUGCGUAGAUAUUAGGAGGAACACCAGUGGCGAAGGCGGCUUACUGGACAGUAACUGACGUUGAGGCUCGAAAGCGUGGGGAGCAAACAGGAUUAGAUACCCUGGUAGUC